GAACCUUUGACCGGGUCAGACAGGGAUGUUGGAAUGCUAGGAAACUAGAUGACUCAAAGGAAUCAAGUCAGAACCGAACCGCUUUUUUAAGCGCGUGUAUGCGACAGGGACAAAAGAAGGCAAGAAAGUUCGAUCAAGAUCUGAAGAAAGUGAGGCACACUGGAUAACAAAGGGCUCAGCCAUGUCCAUGAGUGCUGACAAGAAUGUAGAAGGGAGAGGAAGGUGGAGCGUUUGUCACAUGACAUGAACAGCACUUUAACCGCCACCUUCUGGAUCGUGGAGUCUUGACUCUUCAGGACAGCUUCGCGCACGGAACCAAACUCACCUGUACAGGUUUUAUUUAUCACUGAAAGAAUGAGCGGUUAUUGCUCUGAAGCUGAUGAAGAGGAGUUCUGAUGAAGAUCACAUUUACCUUUGCCCAGCAUGUGGCCCAGAGUCAGAAGGUUCUCUGGAAUCAGAACGUCCUGGAGUUUGUUCUUCAGCUCGCUGUUGAUGCACAGACUGUCCACUGGAGGGAGACAAAGAGACACAACCAUUAAAAACACCCAAACCAUCCAUCCAUUCAUCCAUCUUAUCACUGUUUGGAAAAUUUACCUUUUGAGUUCAGUAAAACAAAAAGGCUUGUUCUUGUUAAACUGCAGAACCGCUCCUUUUACAUGAACACAAGUAAUCGGAAUAAAAAUGGAAACACGGCAGUCGGAAAACUCUGAUCUGAUCAGACUCAUCUGGAUCAAAAUUCCCUUCCAGUCGAGAUAGGUGGGUUAUAUCAAUUGUUGAUCUGAUUGUGGUGCAAGCAAACAACUCAUUCCGAUUGUGGGUCAUUGAUUCUAUGUUGGGGUUAGACGGCGUGGAGCUCCAGAGGAGCGUUUAGUGAACAAACGGGACCGGCUGGCUGCUCUGUGGGAGCGAACUGUCUCUGAGCAGAGCAGCCGGACUGUAGCUUCGUGUCUGCGACCAGGGGAGGGUGCUGAUCGGGUGUGAUCGCAGACUUGGCAGAACCUCGUCUCCGAACAGCUACAGGACAGUGUUUGACCUGGCAGAGGCAGCUUCUGAUGGCUCCGCGGUCCUAACAGUCUUCUGAAACUGUGCAAACAAUCAUGUGAAUUUGUUACCAAUAAUUUCCAGACUAAAUAAAGCCGGAUGUUAUUCCCACAUAUUUAUGUGCCAGCAGGAUGCACAUUGCCGGCAUGGAUUUGAAGUGCAUCCAAAGCUAAAUGUCUGACUCUGACUUUGGGGUCACCAACUUGGUGCCCAUGGGCACCACGUUGCCCCCCAACGACCACACAAGUUGCCUGCAGGUCUCUUCUAAAAAUAGCACAACUCACUUGUGAGCUGUGCCUAAAAUUUAAUUUUAUUCUGUUGCUACAUUUUUUUAGUUACACGUGCAUUAACAUAGAUUUAAAAAUUAAAAAGUCUUUAAAAAAAAAUGUAGAUACGUUUAAGUGACCUCGCAGUAAUGCUCAAGUAGAACAGAGCUGGUGGAGCUGACACUCACAGGUGGACUCCUGCGUGUCGCUGGCGUUUCUGUUGAACGACCGAGCCGCCGUGAAGAAGACCGAGCUCUCAGGACCGGGAUCCUUGAAGGCUGACCUGAAAACAGAGACUCCAUCAGACUGGAUUGAAUUUGGUUUCCUGACCAACUGUGAUUCCUCUGGGGCUUCAUACCCGAAAUGCGUCUCCUUUUCUCGGCGCCGAGCGACGGUGGUUAGCAGCAGGCCGACCACGACGGCCACCAGCAGGCCG